UAAUACGAGGGGUGCAAACGUUAUUCGGAUUUACUGGGUGUAAAGGGUGUGUAGACGGUCUGUUAAGUUCGUUGUUAAAUUUUUCGGCCUAACUGAAAACUUGCGAUGAAAACUGGCGGACUUGAGGGUGAAAGAGAGAAGUGGAAUUCUCGGAGUAGCGGUAAAAUGCGUAGAUCUCGAGAGGAACACCGAUGGCGAAAGCAGCUUCUUGGUUCACAUCUGACGUUGAAACACGAAAGCGUGGGGAGCAAACAGGAUUAGAUACCCUGGUAGUCCACGCUGUAAACGAUGAUCACUGGAUGUCAGCUUUGCUUUGCAAAGUUGGUAUCGAAGCUAACGCGUUAAGUGAUCCACCUGGGAACUACGAUCGCAAGAUUA
rnacentral:rRNA from 1 species